CUUGCCUUCGAUAUUCUCAAUGUAGCCUAAAUCAGUCGGCUUUACCUCUCCUUUGAACGCACACCUCCACCGAGGAACGUCAUCCUUUGCAACAUGAACCUUAUCUCGACUGUCUUGGCCGUGAUGGCAGCGGCAUUUCUGAUAGCCAGCCGUCACGGGCACACCAACGCCUCCCCACUGGCUCUCCCAGACCCGGAACCAGGCUCUCUGUUCCGGGGGUUCGACGGACCGCUGGCGGAUGGCCGGAGGAACACCUACCGACAUCUUGGCUAUGGAGCUGACGAUGAUGCUCUUGACCCUCGUGAUUUUAACUCUGAGAAGCAUGUCUGGUAAAUGGUACCAAUGAUCAUCCCGUCAAUAAAUUAUUCCCUAGCUUAUAUUCACUGACAUCUACCAUUUGUAAAUGAACACAUACAGAAAAUACACACUUCCCAUUAUUGGCCAGGCGUGCGAGAGCCAUGAAUACUGUCCCAGUGGUGUGUUUAAAGCAAUCGAUAGUCAUAAUAAAGCACCCAUUCACAUAUUUAUCACCAGUUUUUCAACCAAAUUCAUGGCAAGCUAAAAUAUUCUAUCUAUCAAUAAAUGUCAUAUAAUGAA